CUGGUUCCCGUCGUUACGCCUCAUGACCGUUCUUAGGCGGCUGCGGGGUGCGUGGGGCUCGCUGAGGAGACGGCAGGCCUCUGCCCAUGGAGCUGAGCACGAGGCUCCCAGUCCUGAGAUGACCCAGCGGUGAGGAGCAAGUGGGGCACAAAAGAUCUGCAGGACUUCUGGAACCAUCCUGCAAUGGUCUCUGCAAUGCCCUGUGCUGUGCUGCAGACUGCAGCUCAGGAUCCCAGUGCCUUGCCCCGUUGUGCAGUGCCAUCUCCUGGAAAGCUGUGCCUGGGCUGCACACACUGCUCACUGCCGGAGCUUCACAACCAGACUUUUGCUCCCGAAGCACCUAGUGGUGCCACAAGCAGAAAGCCACUGCCUCGAGGUAUCUUCUGACCCACCAGAAGUGCUCCACCAAACUCCUCUUUCUCCAGCAGCAAGAAGUAUGAAGUAUGCUCUCUGUGAGGAGCCCUGUGGCAGGACAUACCUGCACAGCUCCUUCCUGCUCUGGGUGGUGAAUAUAGAUCUCUAGGUACAAGAAGCUCCGUAAAAGGAGCACGAAUAAACACCUGUGAGAUGCUGUUCCUUACUUUUUGUUCAGCUUUGGGCACAAGUUCCCUGCUCAGUGAAAUGCCAGGCACGUCAGUGCCCUGUUUACCUGAUCUUCCUGGUUUUGACUUUAAGUGACGUAUUUGCACUCUUCCUCCCCAAGUUUGAUGACCUCGUCAUGAGCAACAACCAAGCCCCUAAUCACAGUACUCAUCCUGCAUUUAAAAUGUUGCUACAUCUUUUUAAUGAGACAAAAAUGUGCACGUGGAACUCGCUCCUGAAUGCUACUGGCUUGACUAAGCUCUAUAUUUAUCCUGAAAACACAUGAAAAAAUGGGUGGUUCUGAGGGCAACGCGUUUACUCCUAAGAAACAGUAGCAGAGCUUAAGUGCUUAGUCACUGCAAAAAACGAACACGGCAAUUUAAAUCCCAAGGCUGGUAUUUCAUCCAUCAUUUUGGGCUAUUGGAGCGUGUUCUGAGCAGCUGGGAGGUUAACAUGCUGCGGUAAUCUGUCAGAUGCAAUGAACCAACCAGUGGGCCAAGGUAAAGCUGCAAAAGCUGGUAUUGGAAAAAAAAGGAUAGAAAGGAAAAAAGGCAAUUAUAUCAAUGUAAGGCCACAGAUUUCAUCAACAAGGAACAAACCAACACACGUGGCUGCCUACUGUCUUCUUUGACCUUUUCUGACCAACUCCUCGGUGUUGCCAACUUGUGUUCACCACCUCACUUUUGUCCUGGAACACGCUGAUGAACUGAAACAGACCGUUUACCAAAAAUGUAUUUUUUUUUUAAUUAAAAACCAUAUUUUUAAAGGAGAGAUCAUUACACAAACGAGGUAAAACAACAUAUAUGACAUCGUUUUCUGCUUUAAAAAUAAUUUUCAAUUGAGCAAUUGAUUUGACUCCAUAAAGUCUGAGAGAAAGAAUCAGGAGAGCGUUACUCACAUGGCUGGAUGCCCAACAAGGUGGGAAGGAGCAGCUGGUGCUGCCCUGACUCAGCACCAAGAUGUCUGUGUCAAAGGGUCAGAACCUUCCAGGGCCGAAGUUCUAAAGCUGUUCUUUUCUCCCCCAUCAGCCUCACAGAGGAGAGGAGAUUACUGAAGGGCAGAGGUAGGCAGCAGAAUGUUCACCCACUGCUCUAACUGGGGGUCCUCCAGCAGCAUCCUGCCAUAAAAUAUGCAAGGGUUUCAUGUGAUUGUGCAAAUUCAGUCUUUGCUCACCACUUGUCAGCCCAAAAGGAGACUUAACCAGCGAGAAAAUAUCAACUCUGAGAAAGUUUGGCUUCAAAAGCAGUAUCUGGCAAGCAACAAGCCUAUUAAAUGUGAAGGAUAUUGCAAGGUAUGGGGAAAAAACUUAGACUUUCUUUCUUUUUUUUUUUUUUGAAGUUAGCUUCCAUGCAUCUACAAGUGGAGCUUGUCAUCUAAAAGUUUGCAAAGCUGCUCCAAGUUUGUAAGAAUGACAUUUACCAUCCUUUGAAAUGGAGCUGUCUCAGUGAGGACAAAGCCCAGCAGCCUGAACACCUCAAGGAGAUCAGGGGCUGCAAGUGCUACUUAACCCUGUUUAACUGUGAGAAAAUAGGUGAGGUGAACCUCAGAGCCAUUUCUCAGAACCCCAGUCAAAGCCAGCUGGCAGACUAACGAAGAACUGUAUUUGCUUCUGGCUCCUAAACAGCACAGAACAAAUACCACCACCACCANNNNNNNNNNNNNNNNNNNNNNNNNNNNNNNNNNNNNNNNNNNNNNNNNNNNNNNNNNNNNNNNNNNNNNNNNNNNNNNNNNNNNNNNNNNNNNNNNNNNUUGGAGACACUGAGCUAUUAUGGAGGUGGCAAACUGUGCGUUAUGAGACAAGAGGGGGUGUUUUGCCUGUAAACCUACCUGAAUUAAUUUUUUAUGUGUCCUUGUGUAUUAAAUAUACUGGGACAGGUAAUUGCUUCCAAUACGUAUCCCAGGACAGCAUCUGGUAACCAAGGCAUGACGUUUUCAUCACAUCUGCUAAGUUUAAAGUUGAAUUUCAUGACUGCACACAGAUAGAACAUGAGGUGAAUACACUAUUUUAACCCCAUUUAUAUCCUUGGUGGAUAUGGGUGGGAUUUGAACUGCAUACAGUAGGCUUAGUGCUAGUCUGUGCGGGUGAACUUCACGCUCCAAGAGCAGUAUCCACAAACUCUCCGUGCAGAGAAAGGUUGUACCACCUCUGAUACCACGUUUCCAGUAAACACUUUCAGCAAGAGACAGAAAUGCAUUCACUACCAGACACUACAGCUUAUGAUAACUGUACCUUGGCAGCUUCACUACUGUGACUUAAUAGAAAGACUCUCUGUGUUUGAAGUCAGUUAAAGGCUAUAGAUCAAGGCAGAGGAAGAAAGACGUGUCAUACCCAGAAGAGUUUUUCAAACAGUUAAAAAAAUAAUUGUCUUUUUUCUCUCCCUCUUUUUUUUUUUUUUUAACGUAUCUAUUGUUUUGAGGAACUAAAGCAACCAAUGUUAGGUUCCUUGUUUAUCAAAUCUCCUGCUUCUGCUCUGUAUGAUGGGUCUGAAAAGGCAGAUUAGCAUAAGAUUAGCAGAGAAGAAAGCUGUUCAGGCUCAGCAAGACUCCAAGGAGAGCCAUUUCACAUUGACAAGAGCCAGCAUCCCCUUACUCUGUGUCCAAUGGCAGCAGGGGCAGGUUUUUUUCCACAAAAGAAGUCCCACUGCUGUUUCUUUCACUGGAUAAUGCCAUCUUGCUGCCCAGUCUGGUUGGGGUCAGCGGUCACUGAAGGACUGGGUGUAUUGCUCUGCAAAAAUCGACGGAAGUCCUUAAUCAUGGGGCGGAGGACCUGGAUGAGGGCACUCAGUGCAGCCUGUGUUCCUUCCAUGGCUUGAGCCUGGCGCUCCUGCGCGCAUGCCUGCACCUCCUGAGAGCGACGGAUCAUCUGAAGCAAGUCAUUCUGCUGCUCCAGGUGCUGGGCAAUCUCCUUCACGUGUAAGUUGGUCACUCGCUGCUCCUGCAGGAGCUUGGCUGAGUUCAGAGCAAUGCGGCUUUUCAACUCCUGGGGUUUUGCAGAUACUUCGUGUUGAUGUGCCAUCAUCUCCAAGGGUGCUUCGGCAGUGACUGUGGUGGGGGCUUCUGUUGUGCAGUACUCCACGACCCCGUCCUCCAGACUGUGGUAAGUUGUCUCUGCAGGAACUGAGAACAAAGGACAGAAAGGGGGUAAGGAGUAGCUGCAAAAUGGGUGUUUUUAUCUACAGGACUAUUCAAGGAAUGUAACAGGAAUACUGCCUGUUCUGUGAGAUAACAUACAAUAAACAGUGAAUGCACAAAAUAACUUAAGUCUGCUCCACCCUCAUCUAAGUUUCCUUCUCGGAUGUACAGUGUAAGGUCCAAAGGAGCAGGGUGCGCCAUAUCUGUCUAGACAAAAUCUCUUUCCAACCUCUAGUUUAGAUAGCAUUACCUAGUUAAAACCUCUAGUUUAGAUACCAUUAACCAACUGACAUAAGGGCAAAGAGGCCUAGAAUGACACUUAUCAACAAGAUGGCCUGUCUGGGGCAGAUCAGGAAAUCAGCCCCGGACAUAUUCUUCCCUUGUACUUUAGUUCCCUAGAGAAAGGGACCAAAGGCUCCUUGCUUUCCUUGCUUUAAGGCUGGCCUCAGCUGUCAAAAUUGACUUUCACACACAUCUCAUAGAUGCUCCCCUACAGCACAAAUGUGUUUUCAGGACAGAUGGGCGCUUUGUUUUGACAGGAGCUCCCUGCAGAGGGAUCACAGGAGGGUGCCAGGCCUCCCACUGGGCCACCAAUCCAGAACACAGCAUCUUCACUGGGCGCAGCACUCACUCUGGGUCAGCGUGACGGUGGUGGCGGAGGCGGUGAUGGGGAUCUCGGUCCCGUCGGCCGCCCCGCAGUCCCCGCUGGGCAGGCUGAUGAUGGUGGCCUCUCCCAGCAGGUUGCAGAUGCGCUGUUGCAUGGGGGUGAGGAUGACGGGGGCGGCUGUGGCACCCGUGGGGUCCUCGCCCUCCGUCCCGGCACCGCCGCCGUUCUGGCUCUCGCCUCCCCCUUCCAUGGCGGCGCGCACUUGGGCCACUUUGCGCCGCACCUCAGUCUUGAGGUCUGACCACUUCUUCUUCACCUCGGGCAGCUCGCGGUGGCAGGUGGCGACGGCGUUGACGCGCCGCAGGAUGUCAUGCCAGGCGGCGGCCUUGGCGGCCAGCGGCACGCCCGCGUUGAAGUGGUUGAUGAGGAGGUGCUUGCCGCGCUCCAGCUCCUCCACGAUGAUCUCCACCUCCCGCUCCGAGAAGUUCAUCUUCCUCUUCUUGGCCGGGGGAGCCGGGGGCGACGCCAUGGCCCUGAGGGGAAGCGGGGGAGGUGGUACUCAGAGGGCUCCUGAGGGCCUGGGGGGCCCCGCGGCCGCCCCUCGGCCCUGCCC
rnacentral:lncRNA from 1 species